rnacentral:lncRNA from 1 species
AUUUAUGGUAUCUUACCAUGAAUCAGUCUUAAUUGCCUUUUAUGGUACAUCUUUUUCAUGUUCUUCACCUUCCUUUACUAUACCUACUUUGGCAUGAUGACAACAGCCAUGAGUCCAUGACCCCAAACCUAACUAGCUAGGGCUUCUUUAAUCUCUUCUCUGGAUUCUUAAUCCCACAAACAGUAUGUUUUAGCUUCCUUCUGCACAAAUUUCUACUGUACAAAUAAUUAAUUGAUUUUUUGUUUCUUUUCAAUAAUUUUCUGAAAUGGGCUUGCAGAGGAUCACUAUAUGUCUCCAUGUCUUCCCUAGGAACUCGUUAUUCACUAAGCCAUGCAUUUUGUGCAUAUCCACCCUAUUUU